rnacentral:rRNA from 4 species
AGACCCGAAACCCGGUGAUCUAGCCAUGGGCAGGUUGAAGGUUGGGUAACACUAACUGGAGGACCGAACCGACUAAUGUUGAAAAAUUAGCGGAUGACCUGUGGCUGGGGGUGAAAGGCCAAUCAAACCGGGAGAUAGCUGGUUCUCCCCGAAAGCUAUUUAGGUAGCGCCUCGUGAAUUCAUCUCCGGGGGUAGAGCACUGUUUCGGCUAGGGGGCCAUCCCGGCUUACCAACCCGAUGCAAACUGCGAAUACCGGAGAAUGUUAUCACGGGAGACACACGGCGGGUGCUAACGUCCGUCGUGAAGAGGGAAACAACCCAGACCGCCAGCUAAGGUCCCAAAGUCAUGGUUAAGUGGGAAACGAUGUGGGAAGGCCCAGACAGCCAGGAUGUUGGCUUAGAAGCAGCCAUCAUUUAAAGAAAGCGUAAUAGCUCACUGGUCGAGUCGGCCUGCGCGGAAGAUGUAACGGGGCUAAACCAUGCACCGAAGCUGCGGCAGCGACACUGUGUGUUGUUGGGUAGGGGAGCGUUCUGUAAGCCUGUGAAGGUGUGUCGUGAGGCAUGCUGGAGGUAUCAGAAGUGCGAAUGCUGACAUAAGUAACGAUAAAGCGGGUGAAAAGCCCGCUCGCCGGAAGACCAAGGGUUCCUGUCCAACGUUAAUCGGGGCAGGGUGAGUCGACCCCUAAGGCGAGGCCGAAAGGCGUAGUCGAUGGGAAACGGGUUAAUAUUCCCGUACUUGGUGUUACUGCGAAGGGGGGACGGAGAAGGCUAUGUUGGCCGGGCGACGGUUGUCCCGGUUUAAGCGUGUAGGUGUGUGUUCCAGGUAAAUCCGGUUCACUUUAACACUGAGGCGUGACGACGAGGCACUACGGUGCUGAAGCAACAAAUGCCCUGCUUCCAGGAAAAGCCUCUAAGCAUCAGGUAACAUCAAAUCGUACCCCAAACCGACACAGGUGGUCAGGUAGAGAAUACCAAGGCGCUUGAGAGAACUCGGGUGAAGGAACUAGGCAAAAUGGUGCCGUAACUUCGGGAGAAGGCACGCUGACACGUAGGUGAAGUGAUUUACUCAUGGAGCUGAAGUCAGUCGAAGAUACCAGCUGGCUGCAACUGUUUAUUAAAAACACAGCACUGUGCAAACACGAAAGUGGACGUAUACGGUGUGACGCCUGCCCGGUGCCGGAAGGUUAAUUGAUGGGGUCAGCGCAAGCGAAGCUCCUGAUCGAAGCCCCGGUAAACGGCGGCCGUAACUAUAACGGUCCUAAGGUAGCGAAAUUCCUUGUCGGGUAAGUUCCGACCUGCACGAAUGGCGUAAUGAUGGCCAGGCUGUCUCCACCCGAGACUCAGUGAAAUUGAACUCGCUGUGAAGAUGCAGUGUACCCGCGGCAAGACGGAAAGACCCCGUGAACCUUUACUAUAGCUUGACACUGAACAUUGAGCCUUGAUGUGUAGGAUAGGUGGGAGGCUUUGAAGUGUGGACGCCAGUCUGCAUGGAGCCGACCUUGAAAUACCACCCUUUAAUGUUUGAUGUUCUAACGUGGACCCGUUACCCGGGUUGCGGACAGUGUCUGGUGGGUAGUUUGACUGGGGCGGUCUCCUCC